GGUAGUAGAGCAUGGAUAAUAUAAUAGAUGUUUUCCAGGCUUGGAGUAACCAGCAAAGUUUAGAAGGAUGAUGUCAAAAGAAUUCUACAGAACAUCAACAGAUUCAAGGUUGUAAUUAAUUAUCAGGUGCUUGAUUUAGUUUAUUUUCCAAUUCUGUUCUCUUUAUCAACUCUGUAUUCUAAUUGUCCGACAGAUUCAACGAGCAAGCAUAUUUGGACAGGGUAUUGCUUAGCUAUGUUGAGGGGCUUUGUGUUAGUUGCAAAACCAACUGCUGAUAAAAUUGUGUACUUGAAUUAGACUUUCCUGUUGAAUUAUGAUACAAUUAUUGUUGAUUCAUCAGACCCUGUUGGUAUGUUUAUAAUUCAAACUUUCUACUUGUUUUCCUUUUUCCUAUUUAUUUGCCUGUGUUACAGUGCUUUUCAAAAUGUUACUUAACAAAUGCUUCAUGACCUCAAACUAUGCAAAAAAAUAAAAUAAAAUUGAUUGACAGUUGUCUUAGUUUUUCUUUUAUAUUUCUAGUCCUUGAAAUUUAGGACCAUAUGUAUUCACAAUAUGGAAGGUUAUCUUAGUUUUCUCUUGAUUUUUCUGCUAUUUGGAAUAUAGGCACAGAUUAUGCGUAUGGUUAGAAGUUAUAUAAUUCCGAAUGCCAUGAUUAAGUGAUCCCAUAGUUAAGCCUAAAGUUGCUUUCAAGAUUUUGUUGAGGGAAUGGUUGAUAUAAUCGAGCGGUUGAUGUCGGGAGCCAAAGAUUAUGUUGCUCUUUUUUUCUUUUUUUC